GGAUAACCUGCCCAGAGGUGGGGGAUAACCCGGGGAAACUCGGGCUAAUACCGCAUAUGACCGCGAGGUCAAAGGCGGCUCGCAAGGGCUGUCGCCAUUGGAGGGGUCCGCGUACGAUUAGCUAGUUGGUAGGGUAAUGGCCUACCAAGGCGACGAUCGUUAGCCGGCCUGAGAGGGUGAUCGGCCACACUGGAACUGAGACACGGUCCAGACUCCUACGGGAGGCAGCAGUGGGGAAUUUUGCGCAAUGGGCUAACGCCUGACGCAGCAACGCCGCGUGGAGGAUGAAGGUCUUUGGAUUGUAAACUCCUGUCAGCAGGGAAAAAGCAAGUCGGCCUAACACGCCGGUGAGUUGAUUGUACCUGCAGAGGAAGCCCCGGCUAACUCUGUGCCAGCAGCCGCGGUAAUACAGAGGGGGCAAGCGUUAUUCGGAAUUAUUGGGCGUAAAGGGCGCGUAGGCGGCCUGGCAAGUGGAAGGUGAAAUCCCUCGGCUUAACCGAGGAACUGCCUCCCAAACUGUUAGGCUUGAGACCAGGAGAGGUGAGUGGAAUUCCCAGUGUAGCGGUGAAAUGCGUAGAUAUUGGGAGGAACACCAGUGGCGAAGGCGGCUCACUGGACUGGUACUGACGCUGAGGCGCGAAAGCGUGGGGAGCAAACGGGAUUAGAUACCCCGGUAGUCCACGCCGUAAACGAUGAGUGCUUGGUGUAGCGGGUAUCGACCCCUGCUGUGCCGAAGUCAACACAUUAAGCACU
rnacentral:rRNA from 1 species